CAAGAGAACAGCUGUAGAAUAACUGUCCACUGUAGUGACCACGAUGCAUGAAAGGGUUAAACAUUGUUUCAUUUCACAGUUUCAUAUCACUUAUGAAUUUGGGUUUUAAAUACAUGUUUCUUUGCUUCAAGAAUAAAAUUUAUGGUGUAACUGAGUGGACAUUUUUGUAACUCCAUGAAAAACAGGUUGAUUUAAAAAAAAAAA